rnacentral:lncRNA from 1 species
AAAUAUGUAAGGCACGGAGAGAAUCCAACGAAAUAAAAUGAAAUUUUAAUCUCAUGUUGAAAGAGGUCAUUUUUUACCCCACUUAGUGGGAAAAGGCUUUGUUGUUGUUGUUGUUGUUGUUGUUGAAAGAGGUCAUUUUUGUAAAAAAUUGAAUUUGAUAAAAGAUAUAGAAUUUCUUCAGUCACUACAGACUCCAAAUUGGUGAGACGCAAUGGCAAUGCUAAGCAAUCACUGGAAACCCAGAAGUACAAUUAAGUUAUAUUAGCAAACGGAUCCAUGGAAUAAUUUAAGUAUUCAGUGGGAGGAUCCACAAGCUAGGAAAUAUUACAAAUCAUAAUGAUCAAAGAAACUGUUCUCAAGAACUCUUCGAGAAAAAGUGUACUGCCUAGAAAAAGAAAUUUGAAAUACCUAAAUAAUAAUUUUUACAAGCUCCAAAACUCUGACUCAACUUAUGAAUUAAACAAAUACACAAUAGAAUUAUCCAUUACGGUCCAAAUACUGAAUCAAGAAAUAAAAGAAAACCAAAUGAAUGACUGACAUA